rnacentral:lncRNA from 1 species
UAUGUCACUUUGUGUCUUCUACUCACUGCUCCUGCUCUCAUCUUUUCAGGAAAAGCAAAACAAGAUUUUAUCCAUCUUCCUCAUGGCAAGCAUUCCAAUACUUGACAGGAGUCCCCACUUUAUACUCAUUUUCCUUCUUUAAAUUUACUACUCUUUCAGAUAAAUACAUCCAGUUCCUUCAAUAAAUAAGAUAUUCUCCAUAUUCUGGUUACAGUUCUCUGGAUGUCUCAGUUAUUAAUAUAUCUUCUAAUGAAUUACUAUUCAAAAUGAAUACAGUAUUUUAAAUAUGAUCUGUCCAAGCCACAAUUGAGAUGAGCACUAUCUGUCAAUAUAGCCAAGAUUUGUUGAGUUUUUUAAUUGCUAUGUCUUCAAUUGUAUUCUGAGGAAUGUUGUGAUUUUUUUCCUCUUAUCAGGACUUCUAACUUCACAAUUAGUCAUUGAAUUAUAUGUAUAUAUACACAAACAAUACAUGUACACAAACAAUAUAUACAAACACACAUAUACACAUAUAGUAUAUUAUAGUAUUAUAUAUGUUAUCUAUUUAUAACUUCAAAGCAACAAUAAAAAAGUAACAUAGUAUCUUGAAUAUCUUCAUUGCUAUUAGGAGAAGACCCUGGCCUAGAAAAAUAGAAAAGAUGGCUAGGCAACCUGAUCUUUUUUAGAGUGAACAGAGCAAAAUAGGAUUCAAGAUUCUGUGGAAGGAUUUUUUAUCUGGAAUUUCAUUGAAGGUCUUGAUGACAGUGGACCCUUUUAAACACAGCCCAAAUCUCAGUAAUAGCAAAACAAAAUAGUGCCUGUUUUAGCCCUCAAAAAUUCCCACUCCCUAAAAAGCUAUAGCUAGGUCCUAUUAAUCUUCUUUGCUCUCAUUUUGGGAUUCAGUUACUUUACUUCCUUUCACUCUGUACUCACUAGUUUCCCUGAUGUACAUUCAUUAGUUAAUAUGGAAUGAUUCCACCUUUUAUCUGGAACAGGGCUUCUUCACUUCCACUUUUAAGUCUAAAUCCUCAUAAAUACUGUAUUUUUAAUUUUUUAACUUUUUUUUCAUAUUUACAUGAUUCAUUUUCUUUCCUUCCAUCCUUGCUGGAGCCUGGUCUUGGGCCAGGCUCCAUCUCGAAUCUUUCUCUAUCAUCUCUCUGACCUGUGUGGUAUUGAAUCUGGAUCUCUGGACUGGUAAAAGCCUUUGGAAGGGUCCUUUGAUCAGAGCUUGGCUGUGGCUCAUUGAUAAUUAAUAAAGACUCAUUCCUGCCACCUCA